rnacentral:tRNA from 1 species
UCCCUUGUAGCUCAGUUGGGAAAGAAUCUGCCUAUAAUGCAGGAGACCUGGGUUCGAUUCCUGGGUUGGGAA